GAAUAAGCAGGACGGAGAGUUUUCUGCAGGAGCGCGCGCACCGCUCCGCUUUUUUUUUGUCGCGAGCGUUUCCAGCUUUUUCACGGACACGAGCCUGGACCUGCAGCUCCUUCAGGACCUUGUUUCUCUGAGGAUACCUGACAGUGUGUUUACAAACAGUUUAAAGCGAAAGGACGCAAAAAUAUUCAGCUCAAUUCAAGAAUUAAUAUAAUUUUAUUCGCGUUCAAGUUUUUUUUUUUUACACAAUAUUAACCAUGCACGCCUCUCUGGGGAUUGUUCACGCGCUCUGCAGGGAUCAGGCAUGUCCCUCUCGCCCCUGGUGACUUAUUUUGUGAGAGGAGAGCGCGAGGACGCUGGAGACCCACACUGAGCACAGCGCGAGCUUUCAGCGGCCAGAUACCCACUCACUCACUCAUUCACUCACUCAUCCACUCACUCACUCCCUCCCUCCCCGGCUGUGUCCGAGGGAUGGUGGUGGGUCCCUCGCGCUCAGGCUCAGGAGCCCCGCAGCACGCGCCGCUCCUCCACGCGCCGUCCGUCUGCUUUUGGGGGAAACAGAGUGAGGGGAGAUGAAGACCGCUCUGUGCUGCUGCUUGAUCUUAACCUGCCUCAGGAUAAGCACUGCUGAGGAGCUGGGGAUUCCUCAGGAUCUGAUGGACAGGCUCGCUCACAGUGAAAUCCACAGCAUUAGCGACCUCCAGCGGCUGCUGGACCUCCACUCCGGGCACUCUGCAGGUUCGGGAAAUGAAGUGAUGGAGCACUCCAAACAGAAGCACCACCAGAAAAGCCACUCGCAUCACCACAGUUACGAGCUCAAGAGCAACCAGAUGCACCGCAGACGCAAGAGGAGUGUUGUAGAGGAGGCCGUGCCAGCUGCGUGUAAAACGAGAACGGUGAUCUACGAGAUCCCGCGCAGCCAGGUGGAUCCGACGGCCGCCAACUUCCUCAUCUGGCCCCCCUGCGUGGAGGUGAAGCGGUGCACAGGCUGCUGCAACACCAGCAACAUGCGCUGCCAUGCCUCAAAAAGACACCACCGCACUGUUAAGGUGGCGAAGGUAGAGUUUGCGUCUCGUAAGAAGCCGAAGUUGAAGGAGGUUCUUGUUCGGUUAGAGGAUGAUGUGGAGUGUGUGUGUGUAUCACAGCACCAUGUGACAGAACAUGUUGAAUCAGAUACAGGCCCCCGUAGGGUCAAAGGUAAAAAACGGAAAAACAGAAAAAAAACAGAGCCGUCCCAUCUCAGCAAGGAUUUAUUGGUGUCGUAAUAAAAUCGGCAGAUGUUUCCCCCACCUAAAGUCCAGCGGAGCUGUACCUGCUGCAGUGGAUGUGAGGUGAAAGCAGGCCAGAAGAGGGACUGUAGAGACGGAGGGGCUGAAGCGAGGUCACUGUUCCUUGUGGUCUUGACCUCUGAUCCCAUCCCACCACCACCGUCAAUAACACACCUAGAUGAACUGUAACCUGAGAUUAAAAACACCAGCCCAACACUAAACGUGCUCAAAGCAGUAAACUGCUUCAAACACUGAAGACCAUGAAGAUGAUGAUACACUGGCUGGAAGGUUUAUCUAAGACUGAAAGCGCGAGGAGAAAGCCUUUUGGAGUAGCUACAUUUGGAGUACUGAACUUAAGAGGACCUGUGAACUAGGCCUCGAUCCACUGGAGGGCAUCUGCAGGAGUUUUGCUGGGACAAAUGAGGCUCUAGAUGAUAAAACCCAGCGAAAGACUGGAAAGGAGAAACGAGUGCAGUGUUGGACGAGGUGCGGACGAGAGCAAAGCCUUGCUUUGAGGGGCUCUUGCUGGACAUUGUUUCGGCUGAUCGUCUGAGCUGCUCUAGAACCUCUCCGUUCUGUAGCAUCUAACUGCUCCUCUGGGAACUGUGACUCUGAACUUUGCAGACCAGGAGGAAAAGACUUACUUUUCAGUAAUUUUCUUCAGAAUAUACUAUUUAUAGAUGCGAAAACUCUCUCUAUAUAUAUCUCUUUAUCUAUCUCUCUUGCUCUUUCUCUCCCAGCACAAAAACAAGCCAAUGUAAUAUCCAUUAUGCGACUGUUGACAUUUUCUAACUGUCCCUGAAACUGCUUUUCGUUGUUGUUGUUGUUUAUUAUAUUACAGCAUAUCGUCAAUCUCAGAACUAGCGUGAUGGGAAAAAUAGGUGCAAGAGACAGAAAAGGAAAGAUGCUUUAUUUUUGUUAUGAAAAUAUAUUAUGCUUAUGUAUAUUCCAGCAGGAAGUAUGUUUUUGUUCUUACAUUGUGGUGAAAGUUGUUGUGUAUUUUGUCUGAGCUGAGAGCCUUUAUUGCUGAAGAUGCAGCUCAGCGCAGCAGAAGAGAGCGAAUUACACUGUAAUUGAGCAGAAUGGAGGAUAUUUAGCCUGAGAGAAGGGGAUCAGGGGGGAGGUCUAUGCGUCAAACAACCCUACUUUGCUAUUAUUAUCGCUAUGAAAUACACACAAACUCCUACAAAGCAAAAAUAAUUAGCGCAAAUAUAAGCUAAAAUUCUCUAUGAUCAAGUAAACAUCAUAAUCACACUAAAACUGUGUGAUCUAAUAUGGUUAAUAGGGAGCACUGUUCUGAGCUGGGUUUCCCCAAAGCAUCUUAGCAUAUUAGCAUCUUAGCGAGAUGAUUCUUAAAUGGUAGAGUGAACAUCACACUGAACACUUUCCCUACUAGUUAAGAUGAUCUUAAAUCUAUUAAGAACCAAAAUCUACACUCUGAUGUAAAAUGAGUGGUCUUACUCUUGGGAAGCACUUAUGCUAUGUUCUGCACUCACCAAUCACAAGGCUAAUGUGGCUUGGACCACCCACAGCUUUAACAAAACUGUGUUCCCCCAUAGUCUCUCCUUGUACGAGUCAGUAAAACUUACAGAGAAAAAGCUAACAACCAAGCGAAAGCUAACCUAGCAAGCGCAACUUUUUCAGCUAGCUCAUUCGUUUGCCUGUUCGUUAAUUUGUUUGUCCAUCUGUUCCUUCGUUCAACUGGCCACGCCAGUGUUCCCUGGAUGUACGUCCAGCAGUAAAGUAAAUUAAAACCUUACCUUUAUUAAGUAGUUGCUAUAUAAAAGCUGGGUGAUGUUUUUAGUGAGCUGGAUGAUGUUUUUAGUGAGCAUAUGUAGAGCCCAUUUUACUCAUUUUUGUGUUUGGUUCUGUCUCACUGGUGUAGCAAGCUGGGAGUAUUGGACUAAGGGAUGUCAAUAACACAUGCGCAUCAGAAUAUUAGGACCCAUCCAGACAGAUCUCAGAUAGAUCAACAAGUUUUAAGCCAUGUUUUAUUAUAUUUCGUUCAAAAUUUGCAGAAGGUUUAAUAUAACCCCAAAUUUUAGUGUAAUUUAAACAUAACACAAAAAUAUUUCAAACUUUGUUCCUUGGGACUUUAAGAUGCUUUUGGGAAACUAGGCCCUGAUUGUUGGAGAUUGAGAUAUUUCCACAGAGUGACCGGUGAGGACUCAAUGGUUGAAAUGACUGAGAUGACUCAGCACACGCUCAGAUUAGUUUGAGCUUCUAAUACAUUAAAAAAACUGAUGCAGCUUCUAAAAAAGAACUGAAAUCUAUUCAGAAUGUUUUUUCUGGCCAUAUCAGUACUGUUUUUAACACCUCCUCAUCGACCAUGCCUCAUCAUUUUCCCCUGGGGAAUCAAUGACACCAUCUUACGGGCUGUUCAAUUACUGAAAGUACACAAGAUCACGUCAGUGGUGGAUGAAGGUGUUUAUAAGCCAUAGCAAUAAAAAAUUGUUCCAAUUAUUUAAAAAAUAUAACAUUCAUUUGAAUGUUCAAGCUAGGAUUUAUGUAGGAAACUGCUCCAUCUGUUAUACACGACUGCCUACACUGUCAUUAUGUUACUCUGCUAGCUUGCUAGUUAGCCAGCUAAGGACUCUACAGCUAACAACAACAAAAAUAGCCUUGCAGGGCCAGAUGUGAUCUCAUAAUGAAAACGUCGGGGGACACGUGGGUGAGAACGUAGACCUACCAGGGUGGGAAAAAAUUGAGUGUGAAAUUUCUGAACCGAUACAAUGCCUCGUGAAGGAGGAACUCAAAACAGGGAGAUGGUGCGCUAGUCAAAAAUGUCUGAUUGACAACAGGCCAGUCUUCAGCCCAUGGAUGUAACAGAAGUUAGCAUGGCUGAAAAGCCCCCACAAAAACCUUAAAUUAAGCAGAAAGAUGGGCCAGAACUCGCGAUUAAAAAUGGACAUUACCUCUUGCAAAGGAAAAAAGAAUGUUAGCUUAUGAUAGCAUUUUGCUAGCUAGCUAUUGUUAGGGUUUGUACUACAGACAUUAACGGACUAGGAGUAUCUGGGGGCAGGUUUUAGGCCUAGCAGUGCCCCCAAAAGUUUAACAAGUGGUCCCCAGUUAUGUAUUCUCCUCAUUCUCAACAGAAAUGAAGGCAAUACACAACAUGCAAGUUCCUAAACCAAAGUGUACAGCCAGACAAAACAUUGUCAUUCACGUUUGUAUGUUCAUUUAAAAAAAUCUCAAUUUAUGCAUGGCUGGCUGAUUAGCUCGCUGUUGCUAACUUAGCCAAUGGCUACGCAAUUCUCAGCAGUACAGUGAUGUUGAGGGUGUGUUAAAAACAGUAUGUUGAAGCUAAUCACCCAACUUUGUGAGCCAACCCACCAACCUCUCUUUCCUUAGCCCCUCCCCUCCCUCCAGGCUUAUGUGAAUAUCGAUCAGCUGCUUAGAUGGAACGGCCAUAAUUUACUCCCCACCCCUUCAGAGAAACUGAAGAAGUUAAAGAAAAGCAAGGGACUGUAAUUAGACUGAACUGAAAGCGUGUCGUUUGUACAGAGGGUACCGGGUGUUCUAAGGGAAUACUGCUGCUGUUUUUGUAUUAAGGGCGCCGACAUUUCACUGAAUAUUAGAGGUCUAUGAUGAUGAUGUAAUUGGUGCUAUAUUUAUAAUGCAAGCUAGAAAUGUAUCAUAGCCGACCUUCACCCUAACCAUUCAUAUAAACUUUUAUUUUUUUUUUUUAAGUAGCUUUAUAUAUAGAACAGGGACCAUUGUUCAAAAAGAAAACAACAGACAUUAUCAUUGAGCUUUUAUUUUGUAAUUGUUAUGCCCUUGAUUGGAUAAAAUAACAAUGACUAUAAUUUAUAUAUUUAUGGUUUCAGUAAUAAAAUACGUUUCUGCUCAUUAAACUUUAUACAAAAGAA